rnacentral:rRNA from 1 species
UACAGAGGGGGCAAGCGUUAUUCGGAAUUAUUGGGCGUAAAGGGCGCGUAGGCGGCUUGGCAAGUGGAUGGUGAAAUCCCUCGGCUUAACCGAGGAACUGCCGUCCAAACUGCUUGGCUUGAGACCAGGAGAGGUGAGUGGAAUUCCCAGUGUAGCGGUGAAAUGCGUAGAUAUUGGGAGGAACACCAGUGGCGAAGGCGGCUCACUGGACUGGUACUGACGCUGAGGCGCGAAAGCUAGGGGAGCAAACAGG